rnacentral:rRNA from 1 species
ACGCGAGGAACCUUACCAGGUCUUGACAUCCCAUUGACCGCUAUGGAGACAUAGCUUUCCCUUCGGGGACAGUGGUGACAGGUGGUGCAUGGUUGUCGUCAGCUCGUGUCGUGAGAUGUUGGGUUAAGUCCCGCAACGAGCGCAACCCUUGAUCUUAGUUGCCAGCAUUAAGUUGGGCACUCUAAGGUGACUGCCGGUGACAAACCGGAGGAAGGUGGGGAUGACGUCAAAUCAUCAUGCCCCUUAUGACCUGGGCUACACACGUGCUACAAUGGACGGUACAAACGGUUGCGAAGUCGCGAGAUGGAGCUAAUCUGAUAAAACCGUUCUCAGUUCGGAUUGUAGGCUGCAACUCGCCUACAUGAAGCUGGAAUCGCUAGUAAUCGCGGAUCAGCAUGCCGCGGUGAAUACGUUCCCGGGCCUUGCACACACCGCCCGU